AGGACUAUAGCCAAGCGGUAAGGCAAGGGACUUUGACUCCCUCACGCGCUGGUUCGAAUCCAGCUAGUCCUGCCA
rnacentral:tRNA from 4 species